GUUGUAUAGUCAAGUAAUUAAGUGCAUGUGGUGGAUGCCUUGGCAGUCAGAGGCGAUGAAAGACGUGAUAGCCUGCGAAAAGCUCCGGGGAGGCGGCAAAUAUCCUUUGAUCCGGAGAUGUCUGAAUGGGGGAACCCACCUACUUUAAGGUAGGUAUUGCAACAUGAAUACAUAGUGUUGCAAGGCGAACGAGGGGAAGUGAAACAUCUCAGUACCCUUAGGAAAAGAAAUCAAUUGAGAUUCCCUCAGUAGCGGCGAGCGAACGGGGAUCAGCCCAUUAAGUUAUGUGUGUUUUAGUGGAACGCUCUGGGAAGUGCGAACGUAGAGGGUGAUAUUCCCGUACACGAAAGGGCACACAUAAUGAUGACGAGUAGGGCGAGGCACGUGAAACCUUGUCUGAAUAUGGGGGGACCAUCCUCCAAGGCUAAAUACUCCUGACUGACCGAUAGUGAACCAGUACCGUGAGGGAAAGGCGAAAAGAACCCCUGUGAGGGGAGUGAAAUAGAUCCUGAAACCGCAUGCAUACAAGCAGUGGGAGCACCUUCGUGGUGUGACUGCGUACCUUUUGUAUAAUGGGUCAGCGACUUAUAUUCAGUAGCNAGGUUAACCGUAUAGGGGAGCCGUAGAGAAAUCGAGUCUUAAUAGGGCGUUUAGUUGCUGGGUAUAGACCCGAAACCAGGCGAUCUAUCCAUGAGCAGGUUGAAGGUUGGGUAACACUAACUGGAGGACCGAACCCACUGUCGUUGAAAAGCCAGGGGAUGACUUGUGGAUAGGGGUGAAAGGCUAAUCAAGCCUGGUGAUAGCUGGUUCUCCCCGAAAGCUAUUUAGGUAGCGCCUCGGACGAAUACCAUAGGGGGUAGAGCACUGUUUCGGCUAGGGGGUCAUCCCGACUUACCAAACCGAUGCAAACUCCGAAUACCUAUGAGUACUAUCCGGGAGACAGACUGCGGGUGCUAACGUCCGUAGUCAAGAGGAAAACAAUCCAGACCGCCAGCUAAGGCCCCAAAAUCAUAGUUAAGUGGGAAACGAUGUGGGAAGGCAUAGACAGCUAGGAGGUUGGCUUAGAAGCAGCCACCCUUUAAAGAAAGCGUAAUAGCUCACUAGUCGAGUCGGCCUGCGCGGAAGAUGUAACGGGGCUAAAACUAUGUGCCGAAGCUGCGGAUNAUGCUGGAGGUAUCAGAAGUGCGAAUGCUGACGUGAGUAACGACAAAACGGGUGAAAAACCCGUUCGCCGAAAGACCAAGGGUUCCAGUCCAACGUUAAUCGGGGCUGGGUGAGUCGACCCCUAAGGCGAGGCCGAAAGGCGUAGUCGAUGGGAAAAUGGUUAAUAUUCCAUUACUUCUGUGUAAUGCGAUGAGAGGACGGAGAAGGCUAAAUCAGCCUGGCGUUGGUUGUCCAGGUGAAAGGAUGUAGGCAUGUAUCUUAGGCAAAUCCGGGGUACUCUAUGCUGAGAUCUGAUAGCAAGCUGUACUUGUACAGCGAAGUGGUUGAUGCCAUGCUUCCAGGAAAAGUCUCUAAGCUUCAGUUACACAGGAAUCGUACCCGAAACCGACACAGGUGGUCAGGUCGAGUAGACCAAGGCGCUUGAGAGAACUCUGCUGAAGGAACUAGGCAAAAUGGUACCGUAACUUCGGGAGAAGGUACGCUGUUGUUGGUGAUGGAACUCGCUUCCUGAGCUGACGACAGCCGCAGAAACCAGGCCGCUGCAACUGUUUAUUAAAAACAUAGCACUCUGCAAACACGAAAGUGGACGUAUAGGGUGUGAUGCCUGCCCGGUGCUGGAAGGUUAAUUGAUGGGGUUAGCGUAAGCGAAGCUCUUGAUCGAAGCCCCAGUAAACGGCGGCCGUAACUAUAACGGUCCUAAGGUAGCGAAAUUCCUUGUCGGGUAAGUUCCGACCUGCACGAAUGGCAUAAUGAUGGCGGCGCUGUCUCCAGCAGAGGCUCAGUGAAAUCGAAAUCGCUGUGAAGAUGCAGUGUACCCGCGGCUAGACGGAAAGACCCCGUGAACCUUUACUGCAGCUUGACACUGAACUUUGACCUUACUUGUGUAGGAUAGGUGGGAGGCUUUGAAGCUGGAACGCUAGUUCCAGUGGAGCCGUCCUUGAAAUACCACCCUGGUAAUGUUGAGGUUCUAACUCUGUCCCGUGAUCCGGGACGAGGACCGUGUCUGGUGGGUAGUUUGACUGGGGCGGUCUCCUCCUAAAGAGUAACGGAGGAGUACGAAGGUGCGCUCAGCGUGGUCGGAAAUCACGCGUAGAGUAUAAAGGCAAAAGCGCGCUUAACUGCGAGACCCACAAGUCGAGCAGGUACGAAAGUAGGUCUUAGUGAUCCGGUGGUUCUGUAUGGAAGGGCCAUCGCUCAACGGAUAAAAGGUACUCUGGGGAUAACAGGCUGAUACCGCCCAAGAGUUCAUAUCGACGGCGGUGUUUGGCACCUCGAUGUCGGCUCAUCUCAUCCUGGGGCUGAAGCAGGUCCCAAGGGUAUGGCUGUUCGCCAUUUAAAGAGGUACGCGAGCUGGGUUUAGAACGUCGUGAGACAGUUCGGUCCCUAUCUACCGUGGGCGCUGGAAAUUUGAGAGGAUCUGCUCCUAGUACGAGAGGACCAGAGUGGACGAACCUCUGGUGUACCGGUUGUGACGCCAGUCGCAUCGCCGGGUAGCUAUGUUCGGAAGGGAUAACCGCUGAAAGCAUCUAAGCGGGAAGCCUACCUCAAGAUAAGAUUUCCCUAGGACUUUAUGUCCUCUAAAGAGCCGUUCGAGACUAGGACGUUGAUAGGUUGGAUGUGGAAGCAUAGUGAUAUGUGAAGCUGACCAAUACUAAUUGCUCGUGAGGCUUGACUAUACAACACCCAAGCAGUUG
rnacentral:rRNA from 1 species